ensembl:lncRNA
GAUGGAUGGAUGGAUGGACAUGGAUGGAUGGACAUGGCUGGAUGGAUGGACAUGGCUGGAUGGAUGGACGGACAUGGCUGGAUGGAUGGACAUGGAUGGAUGGCUGGAUGGUGACGGACAGUGGCUGCUCUCAGGUACUGUGGCGGGCGGGAGAGAUGGCAGAAUGAAGAUAAACAAAUAUUUAAUCUCUUUAAAAAUUGCACUUUAGAGGGGGAAAAAGUACAUGGAAUUCUGGGAUUAAAGUUUAACAUCGACAAACAGAAAUAAAGCCAGAUGUAGGAUAAUUUCUACACCCGGCCGAUGUCUGAAAGUAGUGAACCAGUACGGUUUUAUAACUACAGGUAGCCUCUAUAAAACCUGCGUGACCCAAAUGGCACCCUACUGCCAAUAUUUUGCACUAAUGACCUAAAUCAUACAGGUCCUGGUCAAAAGUAGUUCACUAAAAGGAAAAUGGGUGCUGCUUGGGACAAGCCCCAAGUGUCAAUGGGUUUUAAUGUUGCUGGUCCAAGUCAGUCACUUGGAAGUCAUCAUUUGUGCCAUUUUUAUUUUAUUUUUAACGAUUGUCUCAUUUUGAAAUGUGAAACAUGUUUUAGGCUCGCAUAUCUUUUUGUAAAUGUUCUUAAAUGAUGAGCAUUCUCAACCUGUUAAAAUCUCUGGUGACUCACAGACAUGAAAUGUGUAUUUCUAAUGUAUUUUACAUGUAUAGUUGAGACCCACUGUCACAGUAGGGUGCCAUUUGUGACACGGUCAUCAUCGUGUCACAACGGCUAACAUUACCUGUCAUAACCUGUUGUCAAAUCAAAUGUUAUUUGUCACAUACACAUGGUUUAGCAGAUGUUAGUGCGAGUGUAGCGAAAUGCUUUGUGCUUCUGGUUCCGACAGCGCAGUAAUAUCUAACAAGUAAUCUAACAAAUUCACAACAAAUACACACAAAUCUAAAGGGGUGAAUGAGAAUAUGUACAUAUAAGUAUAUGGAUGAGCGAUGGCCAAGGUGCAAUAGAUGGUAUAAUAUACAGUAUAUACAUGUAAUAUAAGAUAUGUAAACAUUAUUAAAGUGGCAUUAUUUAAAGUGACUCGUGAUCCAUUUAUUAAUGUGUCCAGUGAUCAGGUCUCAAUGUUGGCAGCAGUCUCUCUGAGUUACUGGUGGCUGUUUAACAGUCUGAUGGCCUUGAGAUAAAAGCUGUUCUUCAGUCUCUCGUUCCCUGUUUUGAUGCACCUGUAUUGACCUCGCCUUCUGGAUGAUAGUGGGGUGAACAGGCAGUGGCUCGGGU